rnacentral:rRNA from 1 species
GUUGGUGGUGAUAAGGCGGGUGGACACCUUUUUCCAUGUCGAACAGAGCCGUUAAGCCCCGUGCUGCCGAUGGUACUGGAGUCAGAUCCGGGAGAGUAGGAAGCUGCCACCU